UUUCAAACUGUGCGCAAAUAGACUCAACCUCCACUUUUAAUGUACUCUAUCAAUUAUUGACAACACUGGAGGUGGGAUAUCACGCCGCUACAGGCAACACACCUAAGAGAAGAACAUUCAAGAGUCAGGAUCAUUCCUCCGGUGUGGACAAAUUGAUCCGUAAGGUUUGGCAAAACAAGCACGUGGCGUCACAUGUAGUGGAUCGCGUCCCCGUUUGUACCUGCAUAUAUUUAUUUCAUUCGAAAGGUGCUGUAAUGGGAUUUCAGAUGUAAGUAAUAGUUCGAAUUGAACUCUAACAUAUUCAGAAGUGUCCCUUACAUCACUGAGUUCUUACAAUGGAAAUCAGUGUGGGUUAUGUAUGCAUUCAAGCAUGUCUUAUCUUAUUUGGGAGUGGCUAAUUUUGGAUAUGAGUGACGCCAGUAGUCAAUAACAGUUGUGGGCGUUGUGUAUCAGUAGAUCAAAAUGAGAAACAGUUAUUUUCACAUGACCGCGUACUAAUUAUUAUUCUUAUUGGGAAUGAAGUGAACAAACCGAUAAUUAAAGGCCCUCUGUGUCAAUUGUGGACAUUGUUUCUGGUUCUGAGAAAGUGAUAGAGAGGUUCUGAUGACGUGGUUCUGCAGAUUUAAUGCCAUAAUACAGAUUUUGAAAGCAUAGUAUGGUACCAGUCCUUGCCGAAGUCAGAAUGCUAAUCUCAAACUAGCCCUAUAUAGGUCACCUGUCUUCCUCAAGUAGUCAUGUCCUGAUCAAGGAAUCUCACCUGGAAAUCCACGGCCUGCUUUUACAGGUAUUACUCUGUCAAGAAGUGCCUGGUUUCAUUAAGAAGCUGGGAAGUAUUACAGCAUGAUUUAUUUCAGAAGGCAUUUCCCUGAGAAGUAUGAUCGACUAGUUGUUUCUUGGAGCUUCUAAUUGGUCCAUGUCCUCCCAGAAGCAAAAGUGACUGGAUGCUGGGACAUUCCAGCAGAAUGCCAUCCACAAAUCCAUACAUUCUGAUGCCUACCUCUGGUCAAAGCAGCUGCGUGCAUGUUUGUCUCAGCUGUUGAGUUAUUCCAUCCACCACAAUGUGACAUCAUCUGCACUGGUGAAUAUUCAGGCAGUGGAAGUAGAGGUUGUGUUGGUCUACAGAUACCUGGGUGUUCACCUCAAUAGGAAACUGGACAGGUCACGCAAUAUAGAUGCUCUGAACAAGAAGGGCCAAAGUCGUCUUCACCUGCUGAGAAGACUGAGGUCCUUCGGUGUGUGUGCAGGACACUGUUAAGGGCAUUUUAGGACACAGUAGUCGUAUCUUCAAUAUUCUGUGCAGUGGUCCGCUGGGGAUGCAGGAACUCAGAGAGGGAGAGGAAGAGACCGAAUAAGGAGUGUUGGUUCUGUCUUGGGCUGCUCUUUGGACUCUACUAAGAAGGUGUGUGAGUGGAGGUUGUUGGCUAAACUUACAUCCAUCAUGGACAAUCCCUCUCACCCCCUGCACACGACAGUGGGAGCGUUACGCAGCUCCUACACCCAUCAUAUAAGAAGGAUCACUUCUGCAAGUUUUUCAUUCCAUCUGACAUUAGACUCUAUAACACCACAGUCAACUAAAGACCAUUCAUUUCUCCAGCUGAAUGUCCUUAACACAUGAAUGUUCUUCACAUAUGCACAGUUUCCACUGCAUAUGUGUAACUUCUAUAUUCAUAUCCACUGGGUGAAAUAUCUAUAUUUAUAUCAAAAGUCUGCUUAAGUUUCUGCUUGGCACCACUUAGAUAUUGAAUGUUCAUUACAUCUGUGCAAUAUCCACUGCAUAUGUGCAAUAUGUGUAACUGUGUACAAGAUUUUUCAUAAUUCUUUAAUAAUUAUUUCUCUUGUUACAGUUUUCUUUUGUUUUCUAUUGCUAUCUAUUUGUAUUGUCUGUCGUAACAGGUAAAAUUCCACAGUGUUGGAUCAAUGAUAAUAGUAAUCAAUCAAUUAAACAGGUUAACUACGCCAGUAGUCAAUAACAGUUGACAAACAGGUUAAGACUUGCAACUCGAAAACUUUUGCACUGUUUCCAUGGUAAGUCAGUAUGUACUUGAGCAAAGCCCUAUAAAUAGGAGACCACAGACAGGUCUCAUGACCUAGGAUGUUGGUGGACAGGCUCAAAGUCUGGCUCAGAGUAAAUCCUACAAUUAGUAGUUCCGAGAGAGGAUCUGAUAAGGUGACAUGCAAUCCUUCUGCAAACAGCAUCGUCUCCCUUCAUGUUUCCCACUGGUUUCACUCUCCCAACACUAUAGUAGGGAAAAUGACAGAAAUGUGAGGGGUGAGGAAAACCAUGGAAAGUCACAUCAACACACCUGUUCAGGGAAGUGAGGGGUUUCGCCCACAAAAUGAUGAAAUGUUCCCGUGCAGUAAGAGGCAUCGAAAACGAGGCGAAACACUGCAGAAGAUGAACACAUGACUAACGCCCCAAGGCGCAAGUUGGUUUCUGUGAAAUACAAAAAAUACUUGAUUACUGUUAUAAUAUGUACCGACUAGCUGCCCAAAUUUGCACCAUAAAAUUGAAUGUUUCAACACAUUUAUAAAGUGGGUAUUUAAUGAAGCGGUUUGGGACUAGAACUGAAAUGGCGAUGCACAGAAUAGUGUUUAAUUGCAAGCAGUUAUAAAACCAGGUUCAAGUCCCAGGAGAAAUUCUGUUGUAUUUUUGAUUAAGGUACACUUGCUAGGAAACUGCAAAAUAGUUUUUUUGUAGGUAGGCAAACAAAAAUACAAUUAGCUCAAAUUUCCUAAGGCUCCAAAAAAAUGGCCAUUCACACUAUAAGUCAGAAAUAUUUCUGUUAUUUAUUUUAUUUUACUUUUUU